UACGUAGGGCGCAAGCGUUGUCCGGAAUUACUGGGCGUAAAGCGUGCGCAGGCGGUUGUGCAAGACAGAUGUGAAAUCCCCGGGCUCAACCUGGGAACUGCAUUUGUGACUGCACGGCUAGAGUGUGUCAGAGGGGGGUAGAAUUCCACGUGUAGCAGUGAAAUGCGUAGAGAUGUGGAGGAAUACCGAUGGCGAAGGCAGCCCCCUGGGAUGACACUGACGCUCAUGCACGAAAGCGUGGGGAGCAAACAGG
rnacentral:rRNA from 1 species